rnacentral:rRNA from 1 species
GUAAGGAAUAUUGGUCAAUGGGCGGAAGCCUGAACCAGCCAUGCCGCGUGCAGGAAGACGGCCCUACGGGUUGUAAACUGCUUUUAUACGGGAAUAAACCUCCGAUCGUGAUCGGAGCUGAAUGUACUGUAAGAAUAAGGAUCGGCUAACUCCGUGCCAGCAGCCGCGGUAAUACGGAGGAUCCAAGCGUUAUCCGGAUUUAUUGGGUUUAAAGGGUGCGUAGGCGGCUUGUUAAGUCAGAGGUGAAAGGCGGUAGCUUAACUAUCGGAGGGCCUUUGAUACUGACGAGCUUGAAUGCAGCUGAGGUAGGCGGAAUGUGACAAGUAGCGGUGAAAUGCAUAGAUAUGUCACAGAACACCGAUUGCGAAGGCAGCUUACUAAAGUGUGAUUGACGCUGAGGCACGAAAGCGUGGGGAUCAAACAGG